rnacentral:rRNA from 1 species
CUUCUCUUGUGUUUUUUUGAGGUAUGGCCUGCCCGCUGAUUUUUUUUGAAGGGCCGCGGUAUCUUGACCGUGCAAAGGUAGCAUAAUCAUUAGUCUUUUAAUUGUGGGCUGGAAUGAAUGGUUUGACGAGAUAUAAUCUGUCUCUUUUUGAUUUAUUGAAUUUUGGUUUUAGGUAAGAAUACCUAAAUUUUUUUAUGGGACGAGAAGACCCUAUAGAGUUUUAUAUUUAUGAUGAUUUUUUUGUUGGUUUUUCUUUAUAUUGUUUUUUUUAUUUUGCUGGGGCGGCUAGGAGAUUUAUUUAACUCUUCUUUUAUUUUUUUAUUUAUUUAUAUUUUUUUGAUCCUUUAUUAUUGAUUUUAAGAUUAAAUUACC